AGCGAACAUUGGCGGUAGGCUUAACACAUGCAAGUCGAGCGAGGCGUAAUAGUCGAGCGGCGAACGGGUGAGUAAUACAUGGGAAUCUACCUCGAAGUGGGGGAUAACGUUCAGAAAUGGACGCUAAUACCGCAUAAUCCGGGAACGGGAAAGCGCGCUGCGCUUUGAGAUGAGCCCAUGGCUGAUUAGCUAGUUGGGGGGGUAAAGGCCUACCAAGGCGACGAUCAGUAGCUGGUCUGAGAGGAUGAUCAGCCACACUGGAACUGAGACACGGGCCAGACUCCUACGGGAGGCAGCAGUGGGGAAUCUUGCGCAAUGGGGGCAACCCUGACGCAGCCAUACCGCGUGUGCGAUGAAGGUCUUCGGAUUGUAAAGCACUUUCAGUGGGGACGACGAUGACGGUACCCACAGAAGAAGUCACGGCUAACUUCGUGCCAGCCGCCGCAGUAA
rnacentral:rRNA from 1 species